UUUUUUUGGUGAUAAAACAGUAUUCCUUUACGUAACGAUGUCAGUAUACAAUAUCAAUGUCAUUGUAAGGGAGAGGGAAAGUAUGUGAAGUCAAAGACAGGAAACACAUGUUAAGUUUACAGACAGAAUAAACAUUAAUUUUACGUAACAAGAAAGUAACAAGGUAGUAAUUAAUAACGUUGAAAAUUAAUUUCACAUGUUUUAAUUUAUGAUUAAAUAAAAUAAAA
rnacentral:lncRNA from 1 species